rnacentral:rRNA from 1 species
AACGAACGCUGGCGGCGUGCUUAACACAUGCAAGUCGAACGUGAAGGGGACUUCGGUCCCUGGAAAGUGGCGCACGGGUGAGUAACACGUGGAUAAUCUACCCGACGAUCCGGGAUAACA